ncrna:unclassified sequences pemK RNA
ACAAUGGUACUUCUGUCCAGCCACAGCCCCGGGUGGAACCGGGAUCACGCAAUGGGGACAGCUGCGGGAGAACCUCGCGGGGGUGAGAGGCCCAUGG